rnacentral:rRNA from 1 species
AUUGAACGCUGGCGGCAUGCCUUACACAUGCAAGUCGAACGGUAACAGGUCUUCGGAUGCUGACGAGUGGCGAACGGGUGAGUAAUACAUCGGAACGUGCCCGAUCGUGGGGGAUAACGAAGCGAAAGCUUUGCUAAUACCGCAUAAGAUCUACGGAUGAAAGCAGGGGACCGCAAGGCCUUGCGCGAACGGAGCGGCCGAUGGCAGAUUAGGUAGUUGGUGGGAUAAAAGCUUACCAAGCCGACGAUCUGUAGCUGGUCUGAGAGGACGACCAGCCACACUGGGACUGAGACACGGACCAGACUCCUACGGGAGGCAGCAGUGGGGAGUUUUGGACAAUGGGCGAAAGCCUGAUCCAGCCAUGCCGCGUGCAGGAUGAAGGCCUUCGGGUUGUAAACUGCUUUUGUACGGAACGAAAAGACUCUUUCUAAUAAAGAGGGUCCAUGACGGUACCGUAAGAAUAAGCACCGGCUAACUACGUGCCAGCCGCCGCAGUAA